rnacentral:misc_RNA from 1 species
GAACGCACCUUGCGCUCCUUGGUAUUCCGAGGAGCAUGCCUGUUUGAGUGUCAUUUAAUUCUCAACCUUAUUAGCUUUUGUUGAUAAUGGCUUGGAUGUGGGGGUUUUCUUUUGCUGGCUUUCUUCGGAUGUCAGCUCCCCUUAAAUGUAUUAGCCGGUGCCCUGCGUGGACUAUCCGUUGGUGUGAUAAUUAUCUACGCCGUUGGAUGUCUGCAAAUAGGUUUUGCACUGCUUCUAACUGUCUGUUCAUUUGGACAAUACAUGACAAUUUGACCUCAAAUCAGGUAGGACUACCCGCUGAACUUAAG